CUGAAGAGAGGAGCUUGCUCUUCUUGGAUGAGUUGCGAACGGGUGAGUAACGCGUAGGUAACCUGCCUUGUAGCGGGGAAUAACUAUUGGAAACGAUAGCUAAUACCGCAUAACAAUGGAUGACACAUGUCAUUUAUUUGAAAGGGGCAAUUGUUCCACUACAAGAUGGACCUGCGUUGUAUUAGCUAGUAGGCGAGGUAAUGGCUCACCUAGGCGACGAUACAUAGCCGACCUGAGAGGGUGAUCGGCCACACUGGGACUGAGACACGGCCCAGACUCCUACGGGAGGCAGCAGUAGGGAAUCUUCGGCAAUGGGGGCAACCCUGACCGAGCAACGCCGCGUGAGUGAAGAAGGUUUUCGGAUCGUAAAGCUCUGUUGUAAGUCAAGAACGGGUGUGAGAGUGGAAAGUUCACACUGUGACGGUAGCUUACCAGAAAGGGACGGCUAACUACGUGCCAGCAGCCGCGGUAAUACGUAGGUCCCGAGCGUUGUCCGGAUUUAUUGGGCGUAAAGCGAGCGCAGGCGGUUUGAUAAGUCUGAAGUUAAAGGCUGUGGCUCAACCAUAGUUCGCUUUGGAAACUGUCAAAUUUGAGUGCAGAAGGGGAGAGUGGAAUUCCAUGUGUAGCGGUGAAAUGCGUAGAUAUAUGGAGGAACACCGGUGGCGAAAGCGGCUCUUUGGUCUGUAACUGACGCUGAGGCUCGAAAGCGUNGGGGAGCGAACAGGAUUAGAUACCCUGGUAGUCCACGCCGUAAACGAUGAGUGCUAGGUGUUGGAUCCUUUCCGGGAUUCAGUGCCGCAGCUAACGCAUUAAGCACUCCGCCUGGGGAGUACGACCGCAAGGUUGAAACUCAAAGGAAUUGACGGGGGCCCGCACAAGCGGUGGAGCAUGUGGUUUAAUUCGAAGCAACGCGAAGAACCUUACCAGGUCUUGACAUCCCGAUGCUAUUUCUAGAGAUAGAAAGUUACUUCGGUACAUCGGUGACAGGUGGUGCAUGGUUGUCGUCAGCUCGUGUCGUGAGAUGUUGGGUUAAGUCCCGCAACGAGCGCAACCCCUAUUGUUAGUUGCCAUCAUUCAGUUGGGCACUCUAGCGAGACUGCCGGUAAUAAACCGGAGGAAGGUGGGGAUGACGUCAAAUCAUCAUGCCCCUUAUGACCUGGGCUACACACGUGCUACAAUGGUUGGUACAACGAGUUGCGAGUCGGUGACGGCGAGCUAAUCUCUUAAAGCCAAUCUCAGUUCGGAUUGUAGGCUGCAACUCGCCUACAUGAAGUCGGAAUCGCUAGUAAUCGCGGAUCAGCACGCCGCGGUGAAUACGUUCCCGGGCCUUGUACACACCGCCCGUCACACCACGAGAGUUUGUAACACCCGAAGUCGGUGAGGUAAC
rnacentral:rRNA from 1 species